CUGGGUGGUGGGAAGGCUGCGGGCCCCCCGGCCAGUGGGGAGACCGGUACAGCGGAGGAGCAGAAACCUGGGCGUCCGCUCCAUCAUUCCUCGCAGGUCCGGGCCAGCCUUUUAAAAGUCUAGGUCGCGGGAGUUUUAGGAGUUCCGGAAGAGGGUUUAGGACUCCUGCCUGCGUCUCUGGCGUGAGCCCUGGCUCCGGCCUUACUCGUGUUUCCCCGCGAGGACGGCUUUUCUCAGUCAUUCUUGAAGUUGGUAGGGUUUGGACCUUUUAUUUUAUUUUCGAUGGUCCAGUGUGUGUAAGCAUUGGUUGUCCUGCGCAGGGCGCCGUGCAGAGCGCCACGAGGGAGAAGCUGGGGGAAGGAACGAGGGUUUAGAGAUGCUUGAGGUAUGGGCCUUACCUACGUAAAGCGUGGGAGGUGGAGGUGACAAACCUGGCUUCGAUACCUUCAUGGAGUGCUGCGUUACUUCAGCCCUGAGUCUGGUUCAGUUCCCUUAUUGACUUAUUCAAAAUGUUUGUUUGUUUUUUAGUUAACUAUGUAUUUGCUUUGGUAAAACCUUGCUGUUUAUCAAGAAGUUUUGCAAAUAUCUAAUAUACUCUUCUUAUGAUACAUAAAAGCAUUAAUGUUUUAAAAUCCAGAGGAUGUUCCAUUUCGGAAUGUGCUUUAUCACCCUUGUGCUGGGAGGGAAUGUGCGUACUUUGAGCUGCUAACAUGCACUGAGGUAUUGGAAACGUCUGUCUCAGCAGAGAUGCCUACAGAUGACGUUGGUCCCUCCUCUCCCAGUCAUGCUGACUUUCCUUUCCAAACCCGUGUUUCUUCACCCACCUGCCAAUCCAGGCAUGAAUUUUCCUACGUAGGGAGGUUGGUUUUUGUAGCAUUUCUCAUACAAGAUGUGUCAAACAAGGCUGACUUCUUGUUGCUGGAGUAGAGGGUCCCCCCCCACCAGUAUUUGGAAUAG